AGGAUGGUAGCCUUACCCAAGAAUUGAACUCCUGAUUUUAAAGAAAGAAAAAGACAAUGAUAUAAAAAUUUCUAUUGGUACCUUCAACAGCAUAGGGCAGAUAACUGGAAUAUAAUAAUUCAAAGCUUUCUUGUGCGAAAAAUACAUUCAUUCUUUUCCCACAGUCUCAUCCCAUUAUAGUGGCUUGAUGUCCAGGGUUUUGUCAUCUCAUCAGGUCCAAGUGCAGAUGAAGCUCCUCAGGUUCCAUUCCUUGAUCACCUCUUUUUGGAUACUGCUCCUUUCCAUCUGAAGACCUGUGAACUAGAGAUAGGUUAUCUACCCCAUCUUGCAGCACACACACAUAUCAACAAUUGAUAGCUGAGAAGGUAUGAGAAGGUAUAGGAUAAUUGCCAUAGAUAAUCUUAUUCAAAAAAGGGGAAACCUAGAGGUACACAGGCAUCACUGGACCGCAGCAAUUCUGAAACCCACGGUGGUGCAUAUUGCCUGUUUCUGGGGUGGCACUCAGCCCCACUCCUUGGGGGUUGUUCUUCAUUCAUCAUGGCUUGAUACUGGGCUUCUCAGACUUUAGAACUGUGAGCCAGUAAAUUUCUGCUUAUUUUGUUUUUUAUUUUUUUUAUUAUACUUAAAUUCUGGGGGACAUGUGCAGAAUGUGCAGGUUUGU
rnacentral:lncRNA from 1 species